UAGGGAAUGAGAGAGAAUAUGUGGAGUUUACAGGGUCACACCGACAGACGAAAUUACUGACAUUCGGUGAAUUCAUUGGAGCUGGGCAGUGAGGGACAUUGACAGUGAUGGGAUCUACGAUCAGUGAAUUACUGAAGGGUUUAAUGUUUCCUGAAAUAUCCGGGUGAGAGAAAUGCCCUCAGACGGACGAUUUUAAUCACAAUGUUCAUCAAUUUGUCUGUUUGUGUUUAGACUGAACAAUAAUGAACUGGGGGAUUCAGGAGUGAAACUGGUGUCUGCGGCUCUGAGGAACCCGGAGUGUAAAAUACAGAGACUGGGGCUGGGGGAUGUCGGUCUCACAGAUUCUGGUGCCGAGGAUCUCGUCUCCGCUCUCAGUACAAACCCAUCACUGACGGAUCUGGACCUGAGUGAUAAUAAACUGGGGGAUUCAGGAGUGAAACUGGUGUCUGCGGCUCUGAGGAACCCGGAGUGUAAAAUACAGACACUGGAGCUGUACGAUGUCGGUCUCACAGAUUCUGGUGCCGAGGAUCUCGUCUCCGCUCUCAGUACAAACACUUCAGUGACGGGGCUGGACCUGGGAUACAACUCUCUGACAGACCGAUCUGUCCCCGCUCUCCGCCGCCUCAUACUGACCCUCCCGAGUCUGGAGCUGAUCCGGUGAGUGUUUGUGUUAAUGUUCAAUGUGAUAAAAUAUCAGCAGAUCCGCGGGUUUUCUGGUGAUAUUUGUCUGUGUGUGUUGUUGAAACAUUAACCCCGGUCCCCUGUUACUGACACUGUUGUGUGAUCUGUUUAUUCCAUCUUUAUUCUCCCAUCUGUUUCAGGCUGGGGUGGAAUCGGUUCAGUGAGACCGGGGGAAGGAACUGAGAUCUCUACAGGAACCCAGACCCGAACUGAGAGUGGAUCUGUGAACAUCUGAAUGUGGUGAAUCCGUUCAGUGAGACCGGGGAGAAGGAACUGAGAUCUCUACAGGAACCCAGACCCGGACUGAGAGUGGAUCUGUGAACAUCUGAAUGUGGUGAAUCGGUUCAGUGAGACCGGGAUGAAGGAACUGAGAUCUCUACAGGAACCCAGACCCGGACUGAUGGUGGAUCUGUGAACAUCUGAAUGUGGGGAAUCGGUUCAGUGAGACCGGGAUGAAGGAACAGAGAUCUCUACAGGAACCCAGACCCGGACUGAGAGUGGAUCUGAGGACAUUUAGCCUUUAACCUUUAUCUUACCUGGAACCCAGACCCGGACUGAUGGUGGAUCUGAAUGUGUGAACAUCCCCGCCCGCGGGAUGGGGACAUUUGGCCGACUCCCCGCCCUCCCCUUUAACUCCCGCCCUUACCUUUAAC